ACCCACUCUGUCAAGCCGAUGACUGGUUCUUCAUCAGAAUCUGAACUUGCUGCCUCAUCGACAAAUGACACCUUUUUAUUCCAUGCUCUCUUAGGUUCAAAAGGUUUAAUAUCUUGGUCGGAAAUCCUUUGCACCAGAUGACUUAGACUCUCGAACUCUUGAGAAGCAUACUUGUCUCUGAUAUGUGGGAACAACCCCUGAAAAGCCAAAUCGGCUAGCUAUCGAUCGUCCAGAACCAGACUAUAGCACUUAUUCUUAACCUCUCGCAAUCUCUGUACAAAGCUUUCAACCGAUUCAUCAUUGCGUUGCUUCAGCCUAACUAAAUCAGUGAUCUUCUUCUCAUGAACUCCAAAAAAUAAGUAUUUAUGAAAUUGUUUCUCUUGAUCGGCCCA
rnacentral:lncRNA from 1 species